UGGGGAAUCUUAGACAAUGGGGGAAACCCUGAUCUAGCCAUGCCGCGUGAGCGAUGAAGGCCUUAGGGUUGUAAAGCUCUUUCAGCUGGGAAGAUAAUGACGGUACCAGCAGAAGAAGCCCCGGCUAACUCCGUGCCAGCAGCCGCGGUAAUACGGAGGGGGCUAGCGUUGUUCGGAAUUACUGGGCGUAAAGCGCACGUAGGCGGAUUGAAAAGUCAGAGGUGAAAUCCCAGGGCUCAACCUUGGAACUGCCUUUGAAACUAUCAGUCUAGAGUUCGAGAGAGGUGAGUGGAAUUCCGAGUGUAGAGGUGAAAUUCGUAGAUAUUCGGAGGAACACCAGUGGCGAAGGCGGCUCACUGGCUCGAUACUGACGCUGAGGUGCGAAAGCGUGGGGAGCAA
rnacentral:rRNA from 1 species